GGAACACGAGACAUAAGAGAGAGCAGGACACAAGGAGAGUCGAUGUGAAAGCUACUGCACAGCUGGACAACCCAUAGAACUAGACAGAUAUCUGUGCCCCGGUUGCUGGCAGCGUGUCUGAGAGAAUGCAGUGUAGUUGACUGCUCAGCGGUUUGACGCCUUGUUGUGAAAGAAGGGAUGCUGCGAAGAGGAGAGAAGAGAACAGACAGGUCUUCUGUGGGACAGGAGGUGCGCUGAAUGUAUCGUUGAACAAAGACUCGCGCAUGUCCCGCUGUGAGACUCGGUGAAUGAAGUGGAACAGCACUGUCUGUCAAACACCGCAGUCUCCUUCUGCUCUACUGCUGGAAUCUGCCUGCGUGUGACUCUCUUCCUGUAUCUCUCUGAGCCUGCGAUCCACUGAGUGCCUCUACUAUUCUCUUGUCUCAGCAUCACUCAGUUCCAGCCCCUGAGCACUGAACACAGGGCAGCAUGUGAGUGGCAGCAGAAUUGAGCAGCCUCACGUCCUCCCGAACACACACAGGAACACCAGCUCAUCCCCGGCCGUCACUUAGAGUCACACACACACAUACUUACACUCAGACACACACACUUUCAGACUCAGAGACACACACAUUCACUCACAUUCAUAUACAAACG